GAGGAGCAGCUGUUGGUGGGAGUAUGCCAGUGUGUGUCAUUACAUGUUUUCCUGUGGCGUUCAUACAUAGUUUCUCUAUUCAGCAGGAAAGCCCAGCUCUCAACACCAGACAGAGGCAGCUAAUACCCCCGUCUGUCAGAGGCGCUCAAAGAGCAAGUGAUUGGAGAUGACAAACGAGGCAGUAAGACAGGUCAGGCAGCUCUACGGUGGCAGCAGGGGAGAGAGGGAGAGAAAAGAGAGGAGGUGGAGCCAGAGAGGAGCAGCUAAAAGACCGAGAUGGAACUGGCACUGCUGCAGAUCCUGUGACCUUAAAGCGUGUGAGGAUCUCAGCGCUCGGUGGUGAGGAGGAGUCUGAGCGAGCCGGGCGGUGGAACCUGUCCGUUUCUGGAUCUAUUCUCCUGCUUUAAUCCCGGAGACAGUCACACCCAUCACGCUGCCAUUGUGCGGCUGAAGCCUCUCUACGCAUGACAGAGUGUAGGUGCUUGGGUUUAUCACCCUGCCUGCACGGCCCAAGUCAUACACAUAUUCACAUGUAUGUACACAAAGACGUGCAAACUCAAAUACAUGCACGCACGCAAACGUCCCUGUUUUUCUGUACUUUGUGUAUUUAUAUCCUUAUAUAUGAUGGACUGAAGACAGACAGUCUGACUCUGACUUACUUUCCUCUCCUCCUCACUCACCUCACCUCUUCAUGUUUGACACCAAGACAUGAAAAUAAAAUGUGUUUUAUGAAAGAAUCCAGAAUAACUUGUCAAGCAGUAAAGUUUUAAAUGGUGUUACUCAGAUUAUAGACCCAACAUGUGUGUGUUUAUUUUAAACCUGACUAAAUCCUCAUGUUUUCACCUGUGCUAAUGUAACAUAUUAACCCUUAAAUCAGACAGGAGCAGAAAAUAAAGUGUAAAAAGUGAAUAAAAUAUUUCCACAACUUUAA